UACGUAGGGUGCUAGCGUUGUUCGGAAUCAUUGGGCGUAAAGCGCGUGUAGGCGGCCCUGCAAGUCGGGUGUGAAAUCCCACGGCUCAACCGUGGAAGUGCAUUCGAAACUGCAGGGCUAGAGUCCUGGAGAGGAAGGUGGAAUGCUUGGUGUAGAGGUGAAAUUCGUAGAUAUCAAGCGGAACACCGGUGGCGAAGGCGGCCUUCUGGACAGUGACUGACGCUGAGACGCGAAAGCGUGGGGAGCAAACAGG
rnacentral:rRNA from 1 species